rnacentral:lncRNA from 1 species
UGUGAAAACUCUUGGGAGUGAAAACAAACCGAACCUCUACCAGAGCACUUGUUCAUCUCUCAGACACUCCAUCGCUACAUCAAAUUCUUAAUGCACGUCGCUAUAACCACGAAUCACCUGUGUAGGAAUGGAAGGAUACAGGAAGGAAACCUGCACUAAUUUAUUUCUCCAGUCCUCUUGAGCAACACUGCUAUCGAACAACUCGGUAAUUAGAUGCCCAAUCAAGCUUCUAUGUGUCAACAUGCAAUUAUUUUGU